rnacentral:rRNA from 2 species
GGGAACAACCUGGCGGCGUGCUAAUACAUUGCAGUCGUGCGGACCUUUUAAAAGCUUGCUUUUAAAAGUGUUAGCGGCGGACGGGUGAGUAACACGUGGUGCAACCUGCCUGUAAGAUCGGGAUAACGCCGAGGAAACCGGGGCUAAUACCGGAUAGUUUUUUCCUCCGCAUGGAGGAAAAAGGAAAGACGGCUUCGGCUGUCACUUACAGAUGGGCCCGCGGCGCAUUAGCUAGUUGGUGGGGUAACGGCUCACCAAGGCAACGAUGCGUAGCCGACCUGAGAGGGUGAUCGGCCACAUUGGGACUGAGACACGGCCCAAACUCCAUACGGGAGGCAGCAGUAGGGAAUCUUCCGCAAUGGACGAAAGUCUGACGGAGCAACGCCGCGUGAGUGAAGAAGGCCUUCGGGUCGUAAAACUCUGUUGCCGGGGAAGAACAAGUGCCGUUCGAACAGGGCGGCGCCUUGACGGUACCCGGCCAGAAAGCCACGGCUAACUACGUGCCAGCAGCCGCGGUAAUACGUAGGUGGCAAGCGUUGUCCGGAAUU